ACCGGUUGAAGCAGAAAAAAAAUAGUCUUCCCCUGCUCCUGUACUCCUCUUCUUCUCCAUCCCCCAAAUUGUCCUCCACCUCCGCCUAUGUUCUUCCUCUGCCUGCGACGCGUGCUACCUGAAGAGCGAAGGCCGUCGAGUGGGCUCCGAUCAACGGAAUCGCAAAAACGGCACCAAGCCCAUCCAGAUCGGAAGACCGGUUCUCCUUUUACACGGGUUAAUUGUACCUCAUGCCGCCGUAAUCAGGGAUUCAUGACGCUGGUAACGCCUUAAUGAUCGAUUCAUGACGCUGUAAUCUGAGAUGCUGCUUGCUUAGGGAUUGUCAUCAUCCUAUUUUCCAAAUUAUUAUUCCCGGAUUCAUCUCACCAGUGUGACCUUUAUUUAUUAUUAUUUCACAAUGGCUGCUGGACAGGUACAUUUGCUGACAUAUUCUUUUGAGAUUAUUUGUUCCUUCUCCUUUAAACUAGCUUCAUACUGUCUGCUACUACAUACUUUCCAAAAAUUAAUCAAACAUGUCCAUCUAAGUACAUCCUUCUAUGUGCACGACCUAGGCGAGGUUUUAUUAUCAGUUGUCUGCAUAAGUACAAGCCACGAAACCAACUAUUUUCCUUCUCCUUACUCUCAACAUGAACGGGAUGUGUUCUCUAUAUUUCUGCAUUUUUUUUAAGUUGUUACUACGUACACUAUGAGGAAUUGAGGAUAUUCCAGAUUUGAGUCUUGUCCUUGAUGAAGGUAUAUUUCUUGGUAAUUUUAAAACAUGGAUUCGAAUUUGAUCUACUCUGUACUAUCUUUAUGUUCCCCUGGGCAUCAUUCUGGUUUUGUAGGGAUUAGAGGGUGAAGAUCAUGCUUUUUUUGUUAAUGCUGAUUCCAUCUCACUACUUUGUUUCCUUGCACGGAGUGAUUUUCUGAUCAACACCCUGAAUAAGAAUUGUGACAAUGCUCCUCUGCUCCCCUAUGGCACUACCUUGUUCCAAUGCUGGGAUGUCUCUUAAUAUCGCUGCAGCGACCAGGUCCCAUCGGAUUAUUCGCUCUUACCAAUUGGUCUCGUGUUUGCCAUGGAGACGGAGAAGAAGGCUGUAAUGACGUCAGCGGAACAGGGUGCCCCCGGCGCGGUGAAUACUGCGACCGGCUUCUGCAUGCGGAUGUCAGGAGCUACUCCUGAAUCCUUUUUUUUUUGAGAAGGAAUAGCUGCGAUUUUAUUACGACAGGUCUGAAUCUAGUACAAUCUGGUUCCUAAUACACAACGGAACAGAAUCAUACCACACAUUACAAAGUUUAUUCUACUCCUGAAUCCUGAUUCAUGCGAGGGUGCUGCACAAGUUGGAAUAAUGCAUAUGACAGUGUCCUGCUGAGUAAGGAUGCAAUGAACCGAGCUUUCAAUUGUACAUCUACGCGGUGAUUAUUAAUGACUGGGUAGGAUAAACAAAAUGUGAUCUUGUUAUUGAUAUGAUUCCUAUGCAGUUUUUGGUUGUCAGGUCUUCCCAAUUUGAGACCAAAUGAAUUUACACACCAUGGGUGUGAUAGUUUGUUUCCGGAAAGUUCUUACGUAUCCUGUUUUAUUCACGUGCCCUUCUCUUCUAAUUGGUCAGUGCAUUCAAGAUUUUUGUACUAAUUCGCCAUUAUAAUUCCUACAUCUGUAUGGCUUCUUAUAAUAAUUUUCUCUAAAUUGUCAGCCGAACAAAUAUCCAAGUACCGCUGUAUGCAGGUGUUCCAUAGAGUACCACCCAUAUAAACCUGUUGAUAGCAAUGGUUCAGAAAAUAUUGUUUGACUUUGACAAGCUAGCUUCGUAUGGUCUUAUUGUGGAUCUUUAUUUCUGCGUUUACAAUGUUUGCUUUAAUACAGUUUUCUUUUUACCAUUUUAGUUAUCUCUGACAUCUAAACAAACUAAAUGAUAUGAAUUAUCAACAUGCUGAGAAUGCAAAGAGUUUAGGCUUAGCAGAUGUGUUCUUGCUAUUCGCCAUGCCAUUUGAUUCAUCACAGGUACAUUCUGGGCUAGCUGAUAUUUUCUAUGUGUUUUUCCCAAAAAGAAGGUUGAAUCCCCGGCCUCUACAUCAAAAUAAUGCACACAACCCGCUUUAUUAAAGUUGAAGUAAGGCAACCAUGCCAAACUCAUCGGCAGUUAAAUUACAUAACGUGAACAACUAGGGGAACAUAUAUUUCCAGAGUUAGAACUAUUUGAUAUCUUGUUCUGGUCUUUAUUAAAGUAUAUGUAAGGCAACCAUACCAAACUCAUCAGCAAUAGAUUAUAUAACACAAACAACUAGGGGAACUUAUAUUCUGAGGCUAAUGCAGUCGAGUGAUAUUUUUAGAACUAUUCGAUAUCUUGUUCUAUUCGAUAUGUAAGCCUUAUAAACCCAUCUCACUGAUAUUUGUUAACACAUUUUUUCAUUUAUUAUUAAUGUUAGAAUCUAAUAUCUUUUGUUAUUGGUGUUGUUCCAUGUUUACAUAUCUAUGUACUACAGUGACUCAAUUCCUGGUAGGAAAUUAAUACAUCAACCCACUUAGUUCACUAAUCCCAUUUAGCUAGGGCUUGCAUUUAAGUGUUAAUCUUUGUCUGGGUCCUGGACGUGAGGCAGGUGUACAAACAACAAUUUCUUUGUCAUCUUGAUUAGUGCCUAUUUCCCAGUUCAUACUUUGACUGCUUCUAAAUUUCUGUACUUAACCCUUUUAUCUAAGGUUUGGGGUAUACAACUGAUCUGCAGCUGCAUGCAUGCCGGGAUUUACUCCAUGUUAUCCAAACUGUCUUCUCCUCAUCAGGGGUAUACUAUAAAACCUCCAAUACGUGGUAUAACUUUGUACCUAGAUUCUAUCAAGUGAGAAUCCUUCAGUCUCUUUUUGACAUACAAGAGAACCAUGGAAGUGCUGAUUCAGAAAUUCUAGCAAUUGUGUAUGGCUAGCACGAUGUAUUUGUUGCCAGAAAUUUAUUAUCCAUUCUGACUCCAGCAUUGAUAUUAGUUUAUUGCAUAGAAGAAGCAAAUCUGGGACCAGCGGCUUUGAUUUACCGAGAAUUCUCCACCCUAGCCUGAGAGAUUACUUACUGCCGAUCUGAAGCUAAAAAUUGUAACUCAGAAUCUUGCUUGAAUUUCUGUGCAUUAUUAAUCUUUUCUUUUGGCUGGCUAAUCAUCCAGUUUUUAUUCUUCCCUUUGUGGAUUAUGUAAUGAUUGUUGAGUAACAGUAAAGGCUGCUUGAAUCCCAUAACAGUAAGAAAUACUCAAA